GUCAGGUGUUCGUUGACGGUCUGCAGCUUGGUGAGUUGUUCCUGAUAUCUCUGGAGCAUUUCAGCUUGGCAUGAGAACACUGUUUGCAGGUUCGACACUUCCGCUGGAUUCAUAGGUGGUGAAGUAUUCUUUCAUGAUCUGCUGUACA